rnacentral:rRNA from 1 species
AUUGAACGCUGGCGGCAUGCCUUACACAUGCAAGUCGAACGGCAGCACGGGAGCAAUCCUGGUGGCGAGUGGCGAGCGGGUGAGUAAAGUAUCGGAACGUGCCCAGUCGUGGGGGAUAACGUAGCGAAAGUUACGCUAAUACCGCAUACGAUCUAUGGAUGAAAGCGGGGGAUCGCAAGACCUCGCGCGAUUGGAGCGGCCGAUAUCAGAUUAGGUGGUUGGUGGGGUAAAGGCUCACCAAGCCGACGAUCUGUAGCUGGUCUGAGAGGACGACCAGCCAUACUGGGACUGAGACACGGCCCAGACUCCUACGGGAGGCAGCAGUGGGGAAUUUUGGACAAUGGGCGAAAGCCUGAUCCAGCCAUGCCGCGUGCAGGAUGAAGGCCUUCGGGUUGUAAACUGCUUUUGUACGGAACGAAAAGGUUUGGCCUAAUAAGCUGAGCUCAUGACGGUACCGUAAGAAUAAGCACCGGCUAACUACGUGCCAGCCGCCGCCGUAACAC